UGAGUAACCUGCCCUGGACUUUGGGAUAACCCUCGGAAACGGGGGCUAAUACCGGAUAUGACAUGCUCUCACAUGGGGGUGUGUGGAAAGUUUUUCGGUCUGGGAUGGGCUCGCGGCCUAUCAGCUUGUUGGUGGGGUGAUGGCCUACCAAGGCGACGACGGGUAGCCGGCCUGAGAGGGCGACCGGCCACACUGGGACUGAGACACGGCCCAGACUCCUACGGGAGGCA
rnacentral:rRNA from 1 species